rnacentral:tRNA from 1 species
ACCUGGGUGGCUCAGUCGGUUAAGCGUCUGACUUCAGCUCAGGUCAUGAUCUCAUGGUUUGUGGGUUCAAGCCCCGUGUCAGGCU